UUUGCAAUGCGGAACUUCGCAUUCUUGUUGUGGACCCCCGGUUUCCUGGUUCGUGCCAUGACUCUUGGGUGUGGCAGCACAACCCACUGCGUGCACGCCUAGCCGCACAACUGCAGCCUGGCGAGUAUCUGCUUGGAGACUCAGGAUAUCCUCUCGAGCCAUGGCUGCUUGUUCCAGUACCUGGCAGCCAUGCCGGCACCACCUCUGAAGGCCACUACAACCAGGAGCACGCAUCCAUGCGCAAUGUUGUGGAGAGAUGUAUCGGGGUGUUGAAAAGCAAGUUCCGCUGCUUGCAGCGCUUUCGGACACUGCUAUACAGCCCCGAUAGAGCAGCGCGAAUCAUUUAUGCAUGCGUCGCUCUCCAUAACAUUGCCUUGGACGCGGGCGACUGGACAUUGGACGAUCAUGGUGGGGAAGUGCCACCAGCUGAGGAGCCAGAGGAGCCAGGAGACAUCCAGGUGCUGGCACCACACGACGUGUUCCUCAGAGGAAGGCAGCAGCGCAGCGCCGUUGUCAACCUUUUCUGAAGGACACAGGAAUGGUGCUCAGCGAUGUCCUGCGCUAUGGCGCGCACCUGUUCCAGG
rnacentral:lncRNA from 1 species